GCCAACAUGGCCUAGUGGUUUUAGUGCUGGACUAGGACUCUGGGAGACCAGGGUUCAAAUCCUCAUUUGGCC